rnacentral:rRNA from 1 species
UACGAACUGUGCGAACGUUAUUCGGAAUCACUGGGCUUAAAGGGUGCGUAGGCGGCUGCCUAAGUCAGGUGUGAAAUCUCCCGGCUCAACCGGGAAACUGCGCUUGAUACUGGGCGGCUCGAGUGAGGUAGGGUGUGUGGAACUUCCGGUGGAGCGGUGAAAUGUGUAGAUAUCGGAAGGAACGCCAGCAGCGAAAGCGGCACACUGGGCCUUUUCUGACGCUGAGGCACGAAAGCCAGGGAGCGAACGGG